GAUCCUGGCUCAGAUUGAACGCUGGCGGCAGGCUUAACACAUGCAAGUCGAGCGGGGAAGGUAGCUUGCUACUGGACCUAGCGGCGGACGGGUGAGUAAUGCUUAGGAAUCUGCCUAUUAGUGGGGGACAACAUCUCGAAAGGGAUGCUAAUACCGCAUACGUCCUACGGGAGAAAGCAGGGGAUCUUCGGACCUUGCGCUAAUAGAUGAGCCUAAGUCGGAUUAGCUAGUUGGUGGGGUAAAGGCCUACCAAGGCGACGAUCUGUAGCGGGUCUGAGAGAUGAUCCGCCACACUGGGACUGAGACACGGCCCAGACUCCUACGGGAGGCAGCAGUGGGGAAUAUUGGACAAUGGGGGGAACCCUGAUCCAGCCAUGCCGCGUGUGUGAAGAAGGCCUUAUGGUUGUAAAGCACUUUAAGCGAGGAGGAGGCUACUUUGUUAAUACCUAGAGAUAGUGGACGUUACUCGCAGAAUAAGCACCGGCUAACUCUGUGCCAGCAGCCGCGGUAAUACAGAGGGUGCGAGCGUUAAUCGGAUUUACUGGGCGUAAAGCGUGCGUAGGCGGCUUAUUAAGUCGGAUGUGAAAUCCCCGAGCUUAACUUGGGAAUUGCAUUCGAUACUGGUGAGCUAGAGUAUGGGAGAGGAUGGUAGAAUUCCAGGUGUAGCGGUGAAAUGCGUAGAGAUCUGGAGGAAUACCGAUGGCGAAGGCAGCCAUCUGGCCUAAUACUGACGCUGAGGUACGAAAGCAUGGGGAGCAAACAGGAUUAGAUACCCUGGUAGUCCAUGCCGUAAACGAUGUCUACUACCGUUGGGGCCUUUGAGGCUUUAGUGGCGCAGCUAACGCGAUAAGUAGACCGCCUGGGGAGUACGGUCGCAAGACUAAAACUCAAAUGAAUUGACGGGGGCCCGCACAAGCGGUGGAGCAUGUGGUUUAAUUCGAUGCAACGCGAAGAACCUUACCUGGCCUUGACAUACUAGAAACUUUCCAGAGAUGGAUUGGUGCCUUCGGGAAUCUAGAUACAGGUGCUGCAUGGCUGUCGUCAGCUCGUGUCGUGAGAUGUUGGGUUAAGUCCCGCAACGAGCGCACCCUUUUCCUUACUGCCAGCAUUUCGAUGGGAACUUAAGGAUACUGCCAGUGACAAACUGGAGGAAGGCGGGGACGACGUCAAGUCAUCAUGGCCCUUACGGCCA
rnacentral:rRNA from 1 species